rnacentral:rRNA from 1 species
UGCCGCGUGUGUGACGAAGGUCUUCGGAUUGUAAAGCACUUUAAGUUGGGAGGAAGGGCAGUAAGCUAAUACCUUGCUGUUCCGACGUUACCGACAGAAUAAGCACCGGCUAACUCUGUGCCAGCAGCCGCGGUAAUAUUAAGGGUGCAAGCGUUAAUCGGAAUUACUGGGCGUAAAGCGCGCGUAGGCGGUUCGUUAAGUUGGAUGUGAAAGCCCCGGGCUCAACCUGGGAACUGCAUCCAAAACUGGCGAGCUAGAGUACGGUAGAGGGAGGUGGAAUUUCCUGUGUAGCAGUGAAAUGCGUAAAUAUAGGAAGGAACACCAGUGGCGAAGGCGACCACCUGGACUGAUACUGACACUGAGGUGCGAAAGCGUGGGGAGCAAACAGGAUUAAAUACCCUGGUAGUCCACGCCGUAAACGAUGUCAACUAGCCGUUGGAAUCCUUGAUAUUUUAGUGGCGCAGCUAACGCAUUAAGUUGACCGCCUGGGGAGUACGGCCGCAAGGUUAAAACUCAAA